rnacentral:lncRNA from 10 species
GAGGAAAGCAUGCCACAGUCUUUCCCAAAAUCCCUGUGUCUUAAGGAACAACCAAGAAGUUAACUGGUCAGGGAAAAGAUUUCUUUUGGAACACAGAGAAUGAUGGGAGUUGUGAUCCAUACCUCCGUGUGCAUAAUGGUUGUACCUGCUCCAGGAAGGCGCUGGAUCCUCCCAACUCCAUGGGAAGAGAUUAGGACACAAACAACAGACAGAAGGUGACCACAGGAGGACACAGUGAGAAGCUGGCCAUCUGCAAGCCAAGGAGAGAGACCUCAGGAGAAACCAAACCUGCCAGCACCUUAAUCUUAGACUUCUAGCCCUCAGAACGGUGAGGAAAUAAAUCUCUGUUGUUCAUGCCACCCAGUCUGUGGUGUUUUGUUAUGGCCACUCUAGCAGACUAAUACACAUGGCACUGUCCCUGUGUGUCUGUAUCUCUUCUUAUAAGACCCACCCUUGGCUGGGCAUGGUGGCUCAUGCCUAUAAUCCCAACACUUGGGAGGCUAAGGAGGGCAGAUCUCUUGAGAUGAGGAG